UGAUAAAGUUCAUUGAGGUGCUCCUUUGUAAGAUUAGCACCCACACCUUGGCAAUUCCACGCAAAUGUAUUCAUUUGGGGAUCUUGGGUGGCUUGCUUUCCACCUUUGCAGCUUUUUUUUCAGUCUUUGACACAACCUCCUCUCUGCUUUUAUCCUGCGUUUUUUCCUUAUGGCACAACUGGUCCAAAGUGGAGUUUGAGCCCAAAGACGGUCCACCUUUGACCUCCUUAAUUUUUGGUCAGGCCCAGCCCAAUAUAAGGUUUCUCUUUCUCAGCGAAAGGCCCGCUGCCAUGUGAUUUGGCGAUCCCUUCCUCUUCGUCAUCGGAGAUUUCAGAGAAAGAGUUGACGAUGAUCCCUCACGACGGAGGCGAGGCUCAGUUAUCUUCCCCCCAAUACCGUUCUUCUUUUUCUCAGUUUUCCCCUCCUCCAGAUUGGCUUUUGGAACAAAAGGAACAUCUGGCGACAGAGGUGCUGUUCCAGUGACCCUAGGGGGUUCGUUCUCUUCCUCCUUUUGAUUUUCAUAGAAGGCCAUCUCAUCCUCAUCCAUAAGAUCAUCAUCAUCGAAGUCGCAGGUGGCAAGAGAUCCAUGGCCUUGGAGUUUGGGUGAUUAGUUUCAUCAGCAAACCUGAGGCUCUUCUGUGCUGAGCUCACUGAUUCAGAGGAGUCUCCCAAGUCACCAACUUUGUUCUUCAACUUUAAUUCUCCUGAGGAUUUUUUCUGAAGGGCUAGUCUAAAAGGUCUUUCCCUGACAUGCUCUGGGGAAAAGUUAAACUGUUUAGCCAUUUGAAAAUGCUCCAAAGAAGGUCUGGGAGGAUCAGAGGGGUGAGAAGGUUGAGCAGGUUGGGGGGGGUUAUGUUCAAGAAGGCCUUCAGAUGAUCUCUCACCCUUAAAGCUCUGAGAUGAAGGUCUCUUUACUAGGAGGAAGAGUCUCACGGUCUCGAGGCAUGUCGAUUGUUGUCACGGUGGUCAUCUCUAGGAGCAUACCGGGAGUCAAUGCGUUUCCAUACGCUAUCCCGGUUAUCUCUUUGUCUUUCUUAUUAUUUUUAUAUGAGAAAUUGGGCUGUAUAACCUUUAAACAAAUUAUAAUUCAUCCACUAUCUAAAAUCUCUCAUGUACAGGGUAUAUAGAUAAAUGAGGAAUUUUAGAUAGUGGAUGAAUUAUAAUUUGUUUAAAAGUACAGUCCAAUUUCCCAUAUAAAAAUGAUAAGAAAGAAAGAGACGACAAUGUUACGAGGGAACAAGAAAUUAAGGAAUCCAGCAAAUGGUGACUAAUCAUACGUAUUGUCAUAAUCAUCCACACAAAACCUUUUCACUGUUCACAUCAACUAUUUGUUUACAAUUAGAAACUCUUUUUGCUCCACACCUCCAUCAUUUUCCUUUUGA